AUAUUGUUAUUCAUACACUCAGAUUUUUUAUUACUUUCAUUUGAAAUCUGGUUGGUUUUAAAACGAAAUGAAGUUUGUUUUAAUUAACGUGUGACUUUUAAACGUGAAGUUAAAAAAGAAAAAAAAGUGCGCGGAAAAUUUGUUUAUUUUUUAACUUCAAAGAGGAAUGGUACUGGCAGUGGAGGUCUUGUCCGCAUUCCUGAAGAAACUUUAUACUUCGGUUACGAAAGAUGAACGGCAGGCGGGCCCUAAAAGGUGGGAUUAUUGCAUUCCCCAUCUUUUCUGGAAGUUCCUACCAUUACCACAAAGGUGUUUGCGGUAACUUAAUCCGUAUCCUAUCGAUCGGUGAAAAUGUUUUCUCCAGAAGGCAGCAGAAUUCCAGGUAUGCCGUCGCCGUUAAUUCUCACCGGUAGAAAAAAAAAGGCAGCUGGAAGCGUACCGUUGCUGGCCGGAGGCUGAUAAGGCUAAAAAAGAUGCGUUGGACUACCCGCAUAGCUAAAUACGAUACUCCAUAUCUUCCAUAUUAUUCCGUUCUGAUUACAUUAAUAGUAACGUUCCAAGGUGUGUCUUGGCUCAAUGUGCAUUUGCUAGAACGGAUAUAAUAUUAUUUAUGAAAGAUACAAUUAAUAUUCCAAGAAAUAAAUUGAUUAUUUUUGCAACGCGUUGAAAUGAUUAAAAAUUAUUUCUUAAAGAUACAGUGAAUAGUUUUAAAAAUAAAAUGAUUAUUUUAGCAACACGCUUCCCCUUUUCUGCUGUCAAACUACACGCGGGCGGAUUUCGGUAAAAAAAAAACAAAUACUUCGAGCAGUUCGCGAAAAUUUAACGGGCUGUGGUUGUGGCCAGAUCCAGGCCUCCGAGGAAUCAAAACAGCGCGAGGUUAGAGGUUCGGAAGAAAAACCCUGCAGCCAAAAUAAGCUGGAAGCAACAGCAUCGUAGCAGCAGCGCGAGCUGGUAGGGAGAAAAUCGGUCGGAAGUGCAUGCAGCAGCAGCGAAAAGAAACCACAAUUGGAGGAUUGAAGCAACGACGACCAGCGACGAGCGUUCACUUCCUCAAUAUGGCCAAACAACAAUGCAAGCAACACCCAUGCCGAUGGUGCUACUUACAUCAUCCGGAAGGCGUUAUUAGGAACAUCCGGAAGGAGCUAAAUAUUAGAAGUAUGUAUGUUAAAUAAAAUAAAAUAAAUGGAAUAAAUUGACAAAAUGUUUUUAAUUAAUUCUGAAAAUCGAACAAAAAAUUAUUAAUUUUGAUCUUUUUAUCAACACUUCACGAUAUGCUGUAUCGUUAUUUUUCUUAUGAGACGAUCAUUCAGAAAAGAUUCCACGUAUGAUACAGCUAGCUUCAGAGCGAAUAGAAAAAAGCAAAAAAAUGAAUCGUUUAUUUACUUAACAACCCGUUCCCUGUAUCGUUAUUUGUGUCUAAACGAUUCCAUUUCAUGAAAAAACGAUUAGUAUAAUCGUUCAUUAAUAAUCCACAAACUAUAAAGGGAAUCUUUUGAGUGUCUUGGGAGGAAGAUAAUGGGGAUCGUUAUUGUAUAAUACUGCU